rnacentral:rRNA from 1 species
AACGAACGCUGGCGGCAGGCUUAACACAUGCAAGUCGAGCGCCCCGCAAGGGGAGCGGCAGACGGGUGAGUAACGCGUGGGAAUCUACCCAUCUCUACGGAAUAACGCAUGGAAACGUGUGCUAAUACCGUAUACGUCCUUCGCGAGAAAGAUUUAUCGGAGAUGGAUGAGCCAGCGUUGGAUUAGCUAGUUGGUGGGGUAAAGGCCUACCAAGGCGACGAUCCAUAGCUGGUCUGAGAGGAUGAUCAGCCACACUGGGACUGAGACACGGCCCAGACUCCCACGGGAGGCAGCAGUGGGGAAUAUUGGACAAUGGGCGCAAGCCUGAUCCAGCCAUGCCGCGUGAGUGAUGAAGGCCCUAGGGUUGUAAAGCUCUUUCACCGGUGAAGAUAAUGACGGUAACCGGAGAAGAAGCCCCGGCUAACUUCGUGCCAGCAGCCGCAGUAAAAC